UUGGAGGGCAAGUCUGGUGCCAGCAGCCGCGGUAAUUCCAGCUCCAAUAGCGUAUAUUAAAGUUGUUGCAGUUAAAAAGCUCGUGGUUGAAUUUCGGGAUCAAUACGUCGGUCGUGCUUUCGGGUACGUACUGGCGUCAUUGGUUUCUCCUUUCUGACGAACCAUGAUGUCAUUAAUUUGGUGUUAUGGGGAGUUAGGACUGUUACUUUGAAAAAAUUAGAGUGUUUAAAGCAGGCAUUAGCUUGAAUACAUUAGCAUGGAAUAAUGAAAUAGGACGUUCGAUCCUAUUUUGUUGGUUUCUAGGAUCAACGUAAUGAUUAAUAGGGAUAGUUGGGGGCAUUAGUAUUCAAUUGUCAGAGGUGAAAUUCUUGGAUUUAUUGAAGACUAACUGCUGCGAAAGCAUUUGCCAAGGAUGUUUUCAUUAAUCAAGAACGAAAGUUAGGGGAUCGAAGACGAUCAGAUACCGUCGUAGUCUUAACCAUAAACUAUGCCGACUAGGGAUCGGAUGAUGUUAAUUUUUUAAUGACUCAUUCGGCGCCUUACGGGAAAC
rnacentral:rRNA from 1 species